rnacentral:misc_RNA from 1 species
UUUCCGUAGGUGAACCUGCGGAAGGAUCAUUCAUAAUAAGUGUUUUAUGGCACUUUUUUAGAUCCAUAUCCACCUUGUGUGCAAUGUCAGGGUUGAUUUUUCUCUCGAGAGGAUCGGCCCCAAACAUCAACUAUAUCUCAACUCUUUGUCUGAAAAAUAUUAUGAAUAAAACAAUUCAAAAUACAACUUUCAACAACGGAUCUCUUGGCUCUC